AGACACAGCUCCUGAAGCCUUGCAGAGAUGUUUUUAUAUUGCAUCUUAUAUAAUUAUAUAUUCUUAUGCAUUAUAUACAGUCUUAUAUGUAUUUAUACACACACACAGAGGCAGGUCAGCCCUGGUUUGCCAGCUGGACUGGACUGCAGGAGGGACAGACAGGGGAGCAAAGGCUGGGGAGAUUUACAAAUCUGCUCUAUACAUUGCAGCAAACCUCAUGCAAAGUCAACAUGGCCUUGCAUCAUCAAGCACAGGCUGGAGCCAGGAAACAGCUCAGCUGGAGAAGCCACAGAAUGAGGAGAGAACAAGCCUGUUCAGCGUCCCUGGGCUCACAACACCUCCCCUGCCCUGGUGACCUGCCUGCUUUGCCUGGAGGGCUGGAAAUUGCGGAGCUGCUGGUGGCUGAUGAGAAAUGAUUGAAAGGAAGCGUUGCUGUGAACCCUGCAGAGAGCAAAGCAUGGCCCUGCACUGCUCCCCGCGGGGCACAGCAGCAACUGGGGAAGAUUCUGUCUCACUAAGGGACAUGUCCUUCAGGCUCAGGGCAGGUGCAGUGCUUGUCCUUCAGCAAGCCCAGGCUGCUGCUGUCUGCUCUUCUUUUGGAAGGAAAAAGGGUGGGUUUCCUCUUUUUGAGGAAACAAGUGUGUGACUUACGUCAAAUCUGUGCUUAAAACGCUCCUGAAACAGGAGGAAUGCUGAGAAGGGGAAAGAAAUCACCUGUAAUAAGCACUAUUAAUAUCCCUCCAUCAAGUAUUGUCUUUUUUUGGUUGUUCUUGGGGAGGGUAUGAGGUGCAGUGUCUGAACCCAAUGGACAGAACACCUACAGACAUUAAAUCAUACUGCUGCUACUCACUGAUUUUUUCAAUCCACCUUUUAUGCUCACUAGAUUCCCUUUAUGUGUGCCCAGUUUCCAGCAAUAAACUUAAGACAACUCCCAUUAAUCUCUCAGAAAUUCAGGGGGUUUGUCAUUUGAAGAAGGCAAAGGUGGAUAUGCCCAAUCCCUGCCUGCCCUCCUCUUUUUUGAAAGGUUUAGCCCUAGAAUUGACCUGAAUUUGUAUAUUUAUUUUACAUGAAAGAAGUGGCAAAGAUAAAAAUAGAAUGUGCAGAAUAUUACAUAAUGAAGUGAUAAAAGGAUAUUGAUUACUUAGGCAAUAUAAUUAUUACAAAUAAAGGUGAAUGCUAAGCCUAUAUUCCUUGCUCAUGAAGAAGUCAAUAGCAGUUAAAUUCAGUGUAUUUUUAGAGUAAUAAAGAGCUAUACCGUGGGCCCAAUCAGCUUCAAAUACUGAAGGAGUGCAAAAUGAGAGUGUUUAAACAAUAUGUCCAAGUCUUCUAGGCAUUCAGGAAGAGACACAAAUAUAUAAUCAUUCAUAAUUAACAAUUUCUCCAUAGCACCACCCGUGAAAGGAUCUCAUGUUCCUUCAUAAAUAUUAAUUAAAUCAACCCUACACCCCA